AAGGGAAUAGCUCAAUGGUAGAGUGUUGGUCUCCAAAGCCAUUUGUUGUAGGUUCGAAUCCUAUUUCCCUUGC
rnacentral:tRNA from 2 species